UUCUAUGAUGAUUUUCCUGAUGUGUGAGAUGUAGAUAGCUCCAAGUCCCUGCUUGUCAGGGAGAACCUACUUGGAGUCCUACAUUCAGAUGAGAUUUCUGGUCAUUCUCUGAG